AAGGGGGACCUAAUUCAGGUAGGAGACGAAAAAAAAGUAGUCGCUACCAAGAAUCAAUCCCAAAAGGUCGGAGCGAGGCGAAAUUGGCUUUCAAACUAGGUUCUGGGUUCACACAAGACCUGAAUCAGGAACAAGGGCUAUUAGCUCAGGUGGUUAGAGCGCACCCCUGAUAAGGGUGAGGUCCCUGGUUCGAGUCCAGGAUGGCCCACCUGUACAGGUGGCAAAAAGAAAGAAAAGAAGCGAGGAAUCAGCACCUUAUCUUACUGACAUAGUAAGAGAGAAUGCUGGCUCUGAGUAAAGAGUCCAGAGGAACCUUGAAAACUGCAUAGAGCUAGGUGAAAAAGCCAAAAAAGAAGACCGCAA
rnacentral:tRNA from 1 species